rnacentral:misc_RNA from 1 species
AAAGCCUUCACCAACUCAUCUAACCUGCAAAAUGCACAUCAAAGGAAAUUAAGAUCUGCUGUCAAUAGAUCUGACAAUGAACGUGCAAUUUUCUUUGAUUACUUGUCGUGUUUCUUGGUAUACUAUUCACGAAAGCAAGCUAUGUUUCUUCAUUGUUUACCUGUUGUCAUCUUUUUUCUUGUGCCACUUCUCCUACGCUUUCCAACUUGGGGACUG